rnacentral:rRNA from 1 species
CGAAAGCCUGACGGAGCAACGCCGCGUGAGGGACGAAGGCCUCUGGGCUGUAAACCUCUUUUCUCAAGGAGGAAGAUAUGACGGUACUUGAGGAAUAAGCCACGGCUAAUUCCGUGCCAGCAGCCGCGGUAAUACGGGAGUGGCAAGCGUUAUCCGGAAUUAUUGGGCGUAAAGCGUCCGCAGGCGGCCUUUCAAGUCUGCUGUUAAAGCGUGGAGCUUAACUCCAUCAUGGCAGUGGAAACUGAUCGGCUUGAGUAUGGUAGGGGCAGAGGGAAUUCCCGGUGUAGCGGUGAAAUGCGUAGAUAUCGGGAAGAACACCAGUGGCGAAGGCGCUCUGCUGGGCCAUUACCGACGCUCAUGGACGAAAGCCAGGGGAGCGAAAG